AGAGGGGAAAGUUCUUCGUUUGAAGCAACAAUAUACAUUAUGCUCGGUCUCAUUGCAGGACAUUAUUUCUCAUUUUUAGACAAGAGUUAGUGAUCCUCUAACUGGGAGGACUUUCCCUCUUAAGUUGCAGUUCAGAUGAGUGACACUCACCCAAAGUUGAAGUCUGCGGCUCAGUUUAGCCCAUGGCUUUGACGGAGCUUUGCUGAUGACCUUGCUGAAUAUCUGAAUGAAGUUCGUUUUACUGGCUUUCUCUUUCAUUUUGUCGGCCCUCUCCUUCAAAAGGUCUGUUUGUCAGAAGAUUUCAGUAGAACAUUGCUCCGUCGUGCCUGCAAUAUCCUAAGAGACAUGUGGUUAGAACAGGGCAAGAUGUAUUGUCUCCAGGAAUAGGGCAUUUACGUGAGAAUUCUUGUGCCUCUAUUGUUUAUUUCUCAAUGUUGUUGCCAUAUGACAUCCCCACAGUUUACUGACCCCUUGAAGAAUUAUUAAGGAAUUAUGUUGUAUGUGAGUAGUGAAAGAUAAUCCAGUACUUCUCUCAUUUUAUGCUCUUUUGGUUCUUAUACAUUUCUUAUUUUUUGCUCCAGCUUGCUGCACCGCUUGGUCUGUAUGGCAUGUGAAUCAAUUAAUUUGUUCCUUUUAGGAGUUGAUGUAGAAUUGGUUUGAUGUUUUCUUUUAGUAAAGAUAGUUGUUCAUUCCAAAUAUCAGGUUGUCAUAUUGAGAUCAUGAUUGGACUGCCACUGUCCGGCAAGGAGGUGCCUCAUGGGGCGCCCCAACCACUAGUGAUUAUAAAAGCCAAUGUCAGAAAGUAUUGUGCCGUGGUGGUUGUCUGAUUUAGAUAUGCUUACUUGCAAUUCUUUUGAUGCUUAUUUGUACUUUUAUUUCUGUGGCAGCAAGUAAUAAUCUUACAUAUCGAUUAUUCUACUAUGCAUAUUUUGUUGAAUCUAUCUUGAGUUUGUUUCAUAUCUGCUGAAAAACAAUUUGUCACACCAUCAGUCUCAUGCAAAUAAAAAGAGCCUGUAAUGAAGAACAAAAAGCGUUCUCAUAUUGUUCAUUUGUAGAUGUAUGAAAAAUAACCGAGCUUUGGUCAGUCACAUGCAACCUCAUAUAUGAUGUUGCGCUUUUACCGAAUUACUAAGAAUUCAUUGGUUUCUGAUUAUAAUAUGCACUUUCCUACUGAACUUUUGUAAAUAUCGCCACUAUUGUUUCAAUACUGCAUACAUGUUUGUGUGUCCAUCAUUACAUUGCAUAGAUGAAAUUCAGUUUAUUUCAAACUCAAUAUUUUGAAUGCACUAACCCCGUCGUUGUAUAAACUGCAUUCAUUUCAGUGCAGGCAUGACUUCCCACUAUGAUAUGUACAAAAGUUCAAGGGAGCACUAAGCCAACUAUUUGACAGCGAGGAAUAAUGUUACCCUGCACCAACGGACCCUACUGUCGAGGAGGUACAUAUUCUUAUGGACUAUUUUCAUGCUUCAUUGGUUCAGAAGUCAACCAUGUUUACUUUUUAUGGCUGAUGUUUCGGUUGUGUUAUAUUGGUGUGAUCCAUUUAUUUUUAUCUAAUAUAAGGAGGAGCAAAAGAAGUUCCUGCAGUUUGUUUGCAUAUUUAUAUUUUUACUAGGCUUCAGUGAUUACUAAAAAUGAGUCAUCGACCGUGUUGUCGGGCACUGCACCACAAGUCAUGUUAGUUAUAUGUGGUCUUGUAAUAUUUAUUAAAUGUUCUCUUUACCCUUUUUAUUUUCUCGAAAGCAUGAACUUGAACAUAAAAUUUGAUGUUCCACAUUGUCUGCAAUAUUCAGUGUUCUUUCUAAUUACUGGAACGAAAUGAAGUGGUGUGGCUAAAACUCACCCUCUUCUUGGUUAUAGAAUAGCAGUAAAUUCAAGUAAAAAUGUUAUAGUUCAGCCUAUUGAUAUGAUGUUAGUUAGGUGAUGCUUCCUUUUUUCAUUUUAUCCAGUUGACAUAGUGAGCAUCUGCCAAUUUCGUCUUCGUCUCUUCAUAUUGGCUGUUGUUGUGUGUUACUCCAACUUGAUCACAUCUUACAAUUUAUUCUUCGUCUCUUCGUGUUGCUUGUUGCUAUGUGUUAGUCCACUUGAUUGCAUCUGCCAAUUUCGUUUUCGUCUCUUCAUGUUGGUUGUUGUUGUGUGUUAGUCCACUUGAUCGCAUCUGCCAAUUUCGUCUUCGUCCCUUCAUGUUGGUUGCUGCUGUGUGUUAGUCCACUUGACCUGUCAGUUAGUUGUCUACUAACCAUGUCUUGGUUCCUAAAAAUAAAAGUUUUUUCUCAUUUCUGUGAUUUUCAUUCAAAGGUUCAGAUACUCGAUUAUGCUUUCGAUUUCUUCUCUGAUUCAUAUAUUUCAGUGAAAAUAUUUUAGUGUUCUCUUUUCCAGUGACUUCUUAUAUAUUGUGUGUUUUCAGUUACCUUGCAUUUGUUGGCCCUCUCAUUAGUGCAUUCUUCCAUGGUUUAUGCCGUGGUGUUUUCAGUUACUUCACAUUGAGCAUGAUUUAUGAUAUGCUUCAUUUAUGUUAGGUUCAUACUUGCUUAGUUGAUAUCUCAGUGGCAAUUGGCUUCAUAACGAUGCUUGCUUAGUUUAUUUGCACUGGCAAUAGGAUUCAGAACGAACUAGAUUUUGCAGUUGCAUGAGUUAAGUAUUUUUUCUUAGUUUCUGUUGGCAUCAUGUAGUCGUACCUGACGUUGUUGUCACACUACUAAAGUAUAUUAUAUAUUUGUUGGCAUCAUCUACUUACAUCUUGCUUCAGCCAUGAAGUUGCUGCUAAAGCAUAUUAUAUUUUAUUGUACAAUGAAAUUAGAAAAUUUGUUUUUUUUGCUUGUUAAAUGAAAUCUUAUUCCUUGAUUUUUGUGUUUAACCCAUCAUGUCACUAUCCACUGAUGCGGGAGAGCUUGUGCCCGAGCUCUUCAAGUUGUUCCUUGCCUCUGCGGUCUUGCUGUGAGCACUCUUCAGGUUCUUACCGUUUAUGCUACUGAGCUUUGUCCACGUUCUAUAUAUCAAAGUGAAGGAAGUAACCUAAGCUUCUCAUGUACUCCCAAUUGUUUAGUGGACAAGAACUACUGGAGUAUAUAUAUGUAGACCUUAAACGUGGAGAAGCAAUGUGUUUUUCUCUGAACUUAUACCGCUACUUCACUAUGUGUAAUAUAUUUGUCUGCAUUUUAUAGGUCUGCUUGUUUUUGGACGAUUUAUCAUCGAUCCUUAUAGAUGCAUAAUAGUAUUUUCCCAAUUGUUUACCAA